CCCUGGGCUUGUGGUACACUGGAUAAGAAGCUCCUGGUCCUGCUGGUUCCAGUGCACCCCAGGAUGGAGGUUUUGACUCAAGAUGGAGUGAAGCUGUUGGACAAGCGGGCCUAAUAGCUUUUGCUCCUGUUUGGUGGGAAUGCUCGGAUGAAGGAGAAGAGCCCAAGUGUGUCCGUAGGAGGAAGGCGACUGCCAUCAGCCUUCAGCCCUUAUCUGAAACCAGAGAGAACACGAAGGAGAAAGCCGCUCAGAAUGAAAAGCUCCGGGAAAACAGGCUUCAUGUAUUUCACGGCUCACAGAAUUACAUGUUUUCAAACUUCUUUUUCUUCUGCAUGAACAGAAUUCCUGGUUUUUCAGCCAACUUUAAUGAACACUUGACAAAAAGCAGAGAAAAGAGGCGACAUAAAAGUCAACACAUCAGGCGUUGGGCUGGAGGAACCUCCCCAGGCAGAGAUAGGAGGCUGCAGGACAAGCUGAAGAGAGAAGAUCGCCUGGCCACUAGUAUAUCAGACUCACAUAAUUCAUGGCUGAACACAUAUCUACCUGUCUUUUGAUGUUUUCAAGCUGUGGGGAAUGCAAGAGCUUUCUGUAAAACAUGUCAACAAUCACAAAAACCAUUAACUGUCAUAAAUACAUGAGUCCAAAUAGAUUCAUCUCCUCUGAUCUGACUGUUUAAAGCUCUUUUUCUCCAUUGAAUGAAGCGAGAGGAAGGCACGGAGAGACGCUGGAGCUCUGCAUUUCACACUUGGUCUGCCGUCCUGGGAGGCUUGUUGGAGAAGAGCAGAAAAGCAAAC